CCAAAGUGGGUGGUAAGGUCAGUGAUCGAGUGAUAGCUAAAGUGAGUGGGAGUUUGUAAGAAAGUUAAAUCCCUGUACAAACCAAAGUUUUGAAAAGUAAUAGAAGUCCACUUCCAUAAACUCCAAUUGAGUGUCCCGUGAGUUAUUUAAGAGUCAUACACAUCUUCAAUACCAUUUUUCCCAUUAACCCCAUAAUCAUUUCCAACAGACAUCGUCGACCACAAGAAAGAAUGUUUUACCCCCCGAUAGACUCAACUAAUUUUUUGUGCAAAGCAUUCCAUCCUAAGUUUUGUGAAUCUUUUUCUGUAGCUUCUAGUAUGAUUGCCUUAGCAAUUUUUGUGCGAUCAAAACGAUCAGAAACACUGAUCCACGGCUAUUUCAAAAUGGGUUAGAUUUUGUACGCUAUGAUGGUUGAAUACUAGUUGGGCCAGAGUAGUCUUGCCAAGACCCCCCAUCCCAAUGGUAGAGAUGAUGCGGGGAUCACUUGUUUAAUCUUAAUAUCCAUAUUCGGCGAUCUAAACCAAGUUUCUUCAAUACCCUCAUCUCUCAAGACAACUUAACUAAUAUCAAUUUUGGAAGGUGCUGUGACAACUCAAUUAUAUAUCACACACUCAAGAGGUCCCAAGUGCUUCUACGUGGAUUCAUCAACUGGCUGUAAAUUCUCUUCAUAGGAGCAACCAAAUCGAUGAGAUGGAAGGAGGAGCCUUGUUUGUAUUUGACCUUUGUAUUUUUGAAUCACAUGAAAAAACUGGAUUUCAUGAGGCUAGUGCAUUUGCAUCUGCGUUUGGUAUGCAGUCUACAGUCGAAACUCCAUGAUCCAGCGCCGCUUUGCACCGGGUAUUACACUAGGUAAUAAUUUUUUCAAGCUCCACUGGAACUCAAGGAAUAUACCUCCAAAGUUGGCAGAUUUUGUCAGAAAAAUGGUUACUAUUUAUGUGCCAUCAAGUUAGAAAGAGCAGGUGAAUAUUGUAAAGUGUCUGAUUGAGAUCAUAACUAUGGCGUCCAGGAGGCUAUCAUUUUCAUCAUGGGUAUCUCUAGCAGAUAUCCUAACACCUAUAAAUCAAUCAUUGCAGUACCUUGCAUGUGGAUUAGACACCUUAGUUGAAAGCAAAGGUUUCUUGGAGAGUUUCUCAGAAGAGCCUGCUCUGGUUCAGUUACAUUUGCUUACAGUCACUAUUAAAUUUUUUAUGAAGAAUCCAACAGAAGGCGCACAAAGAAUGAUUUAGGUUUGUUGCUUCAAUGCUUGAUAUUGAUGCUCCUACAUUUUCAAUUGCACCAUUGCAGGUAGUCCUGAAUAAUGCUAUUGUUGAGGCGGACAAUCCAGUUCUGCGUGAUCGGGCUAUAAUUAUUUGCAAGUCUAACACGGUAUUGCCAGGCUGUAAGUCCACAGAAGUAAUCGUGUUGAGAUAAUAAAUAUAGUGGAGAUGUCUUCAAGUCCAACACAGUAUUUGCCAGGAUUUAAAUGUUAGGAAGAACGUACAAGUUUAAGCUUCUCGCAAAAACCAUCAAAAAGGAUGGGCGACUAAAAGAUACCUUGACACUACUAACAAACUUAGUUUCGUUUUCUUGUAUUUGUAAAGAAAGAAA